GGAAUAUUGGACAAUGGGGGCAACCCUGAUCCAGCAAUGCCGCGUGAGUGAUGAAGGCCUUCGGGUUGUAAAGCUCUUUUGCCAGGGACGAUGAUGACGGUCCCUGGAGAAUAAGCCCCGGCUAACUUCGUGCCCGCAGCCGCGGUAAUACGAAGGGGGCAAGCGUUGCUCGGAAUUACUGGGCGUAAAGGGCGCUUAGGCGGCUUAUCAAGUCAGGCGUGAAAUUCCCGGGCGCAACCUGGGGGCUGCGCUUGAGACUGAGGAGCUUGAAUGCGGGAGAGGAUAGUGGAAUUCCCAGUGUAGAGGUGAAAUUCGUAGAUAUUGGGAAGAACACCGGUGGCGAAGGCGGCUAUCUGGCCCGUGAUUGACGCUGAGGCGCGAAAGCGUGGGGAGCAAAC
rnacentral:rRNA from 1 species